UGGUGUAAACACAGAACAGAUGGUCUGCUACUUUGCUUCUACUACUUGCAAGCUUCCUUUUUUAUUUGAGAUUUGCUAAGUGCAAUUUUGUCUAUGUCCAGUUUGGAGGAGCGUCUGUGCGAGCCGAUGAGACAAUAGGAGAACCUUUACAACCCUUCGAUGCGGUUAUAUUCGGACAAGCCAGCAAAAGUCAACAGCUGGAGGGAGAUAUCACGAAAUUUGAACACCGAUACUGAUAUCAAAGAAACAUGUAGAAAGAUUCGGAACUGUCCAGAGAUGGAGAUGAGGGCCCAUCUACAGGUGGUUCAUCGCCCCUUGAUUCAUCAUCUCCCCAGCCUGGUUCAUCACCUGUCCGGCACCUCUCUCCAACACCUAGGCCCUUCUCACAAACACCCAACCCACUGUCCAGGCGCACCUGUGCCCUCUGCCAUGCAACUCCAUCAACCUCCACCCCAUCUCCCUGACCCAUCUCUCCGAGAAAGACAGCUGAGGAUCCUUUGGACACUGACAUUAUGCAGUGGGUGGAUGACUUAAAUAAACUGCACCAGGAGUUACAGAAACAGCAACAGAGUCCAGCAAAGGCCGUCUACGAUGUCAUGGUACAAUGGAUGAUGUCUAUUCCUGAUCAACGUCUCCUGUUUGUCUCACCGCAAAAACUGUUGUGUGCUUUUUUUCUUUCUCAUUCAUACAUACAUUAGGGUGGUGGGUAAUUUACUGGGGAUUUUUGUGCAGUACAGUAAAGUUGUACUGCUUUGUACAUGAUAUCAAAUCCAAAUAAAUUUUUAUUGGUCACAUA